rnacentral:lncRNA from 1 species
GUGAGGUUGGAUUUAGAGGCUUGGCUUCAGUCAGUUUCUUAUCUCCCUCCGCAUCCCUUUCCAGAUGCUUUCUCCUCUGGCAUUUCUUCCGCUUGGUGCUCUGAAAUUGCUCCUCGUCACUCAAAAACUGCUUCUGCUUGGCCUCGGUGCUUCUGUUUCGUUUUUCUUUAGAAACCAAUCCUCACACUAGGUUACUUGGAAAUACACAAAAUAAGGAAGAAACAGUCACUCCUAGAGAAUGAGCCACAGUGAUUUCUAUUUUUCCUGGGCUGGAAAAACGUCAGUAUUGUACCACUUUUUCCCUUGUGAUUAUGAAAAACAGUGUAUCCUUAGUGUAAAGGUUUUGGACUAUGAAGACUUCCAAUGGAGCUCAUAAUGGAGAAGGACUUUUCACUUUGUUUCCAUUCUGGAAUUACAGACGUGUUCCCCCACACCCGGCCUAUUGUGAGUUUUUGGUACUUAGUAUUUCACCUUCACACACAGGGAAACCAUAAGCUUGAUUGCCCUUGGAAGCCAGGUGAAACAGGAUAAGAAACCUAUCCCAAAGCCUACGUUUGUAGUUUCUCGGUACCGGCUCUAUCUUGUGGUGUGGCUCAGAACCCACGAACAUUGGGGCAGAGGAGCAGACUGAGAGAGAGCAGUGUAUUAUUUCCAACUGAUUUGGAAUGGUGAUGCUCUGUGGUCUUCCCCAGUUGGAAACAGCUCUCCGGUUCCACUGUAGCAGAACAAAGCUGAAGGAGUUAGAAGGAUCCUCUACUUAAAGCUCCUUGAGAACAUAUUUUAUUGACUGGUCAGACAGCCGAAAGAGACCCGUGGGUUAAGCACAAUGUCUGGGGUAAUUCUGAUCUCCAGGGACAGAUCCCCGACUUUGCAGUGGUACUUACUGUUUUAUAUGAGGAAUGACAACUGGGGACAAUCCUGCCAAUCGCUUACUUUCUUUCCCCUCUAUCACAGGACAAGAGAAUUUUAGGUUCAACCACUCACAGACGUUUAACUUUUAUAAACAGUUGAUAAACUUAGGUUGCAUCUGUUUAUUUAUUGACAUUCUUGGAAGAUUAAAUAAAUAACCACAUUUCCUUUUAUAUGGAAGAUUAAAUAAAUAUCCAUUUUUUUAAAAAAAA